rnacentral:rRNA from 1 species
GAUGAACGCUGGCGGCGUGCCUAAUACAUGCAAGUCGAGCGAACGGACGAGAAGCUUGCUUCUCUGAUGUUAGCGGCGGACGGGUGAGUAACACGUGGAUAACCUACCUAUAAGACUGGGAUAACUUCGGGAAACCGUAGCUAAUACCGGAUGAUAUUUUGAACCGCAUGGUUCAAAAGUGAAAGACGGUCUUGCUGUCACUUAUAGCUGGAUCCGCGCUGCAUUAGCUAGUUGGUAAGGUAACGGCUUACCAAGGCAACGAUGCAUAGCCGACCUGAGAGGGUGAUCGGCCACACUGGAACUGAGACACGGUCCAGACUCCUACGGGAGGCAGCAGUAGGGAAUCUUCCGCAAUGGGCGAAAGCCUGACGGAGCAACGCCGCGUGAGUGAUGAAGGUCUUCGGAUCGUAAAACUCUGUUAUUAGGGAAGAACAUAUGUGUAAGUAACUGUGCACAUCUUGACGGUACCUAAUCAGAAAGCCACGGCUAACUACGUG